UGAGGAACAUGACCAUCGGCGGGGGAUAGCCGGCCCAACGGCCGGGUAAUACCGCGUACGUCGGCGGGAGCGCAUGCUCCUGCCGGGAAAGCAGCAACGCACCGAUGGAGGAUCUCGCGGCCUAUCAGCUUGUUGGUGAGGUCACGGCUCACCAAGGCGACGACGGGUAGCUGGUCUGAGAGGAUGAUCAGCCACUAGUUGGGACUGAGACACCGGACCCCAAAUCCCGUAACGGGG
rnacentral:rRNA from 1 species